GUUUCAGUUCAUAUUCGAGCUUAGAGUCUGACGCACACAUUGCGACGCGACGGUUGCCACUGUGUUUCAUAUCAUCGGUGUAGGAUUCGCACGACAUAGAUUUACGCGUUCUACUAUACGGCCGUUAGUUUGUUUGUUUUCUGCUAUUCGGGUAUCGAAUUUCUGUCAUUCUUCGAAUACUGUUUGGUCGCCCAUAGAUCACGUUUGAUUGAAUUGUAAACGUGUGAGAGAGUGUUCAUAGGAAGCAAAUGAAGCUUCGAUGGAAAAGGUAAAAAAGUGAAAAAAAACCCAAAGAAUACGACAAAAAUUCUUAAAAAGAGGUGCAGAAAUCGUGACAUAGACACGCAAUUAAGAAUUGCAGAACUCAACAACAACAACAACAACAGCAAAAUCGGCAACAACAUCAACAAUUAAAUCGACAACGACAUUUUGAUGGAAAAACAAUCGAGAGCGUCGCAAACAACCGAUAACGUUAUGGAAAAAAGUUAACAAAUUAAAUAACAACGACAAGUGUUGGAGCAAACUCUUCAGCACACCCGACAGUGUGUGUCCUCCGACGGUGGCUGUAGCAAAAGUUGCCAAAAAAAUCAUAGCCAAACGGGCCAAAAGCAAUAGCCAGCCAACCUGCUAGCCAGCAAGUCAGCAGCAUAAGAUUGGCAACAAAAACACGAGCAACAGCAGCAACGUUCGAAUUCCAAUAGAAAUCGGUAAAAGUGUCUUUUAUUUUGGCUUGUUUGUGUAAUUUUCAAAGUGAAAACAAAGCAAGGAAGAUAAACAAGACGCGCGCUAACCUGCCCUCUGCUUGCGAAUCGAGCAUGAAACCAAAGCGAAAUUGUAUUUUAAUGUGUUGUGACUAGAGUGUGCUGGAAAAGACCAAGUGGCAAAGUUGUUUUCUUGCCCCAGUCCUCCGUUUGCGCAUUUGCACCACGAGGACUCGUAAGUGGAGGAUCCUUUUGCACACACGCACACACAAACACUUAUGAACUAUAUGCGUGGUGACAACACACACGCACUUAAAUAACAGCACCCACAUGGCCAUGGCAGCGUCGCACAGGAUCUAGUGUUUGACCUCGUUAUUUUGUCGUCAAAAAGUUCCGACACUCGUUACCAACAACAACAGCAAGGCGCGUAACCAAGUUGGACUGUUAGAGCAUCGCCAACGUAUUCCACAGAAACCAGAACGCCAAAUAAUUUCUCCCACUCCUGCAGCCGUCUGGUCGCUUGGCCGACAACGACAUUUGUCGGGAACGCAAAGUUUUGUGUUUACAAAAGUUUUUCUGUUGUCGCAGCAACCAAAGGACUUCCUCCCACUCACUCAGCCAUCCAUCAGCCUGCAGUGAUUGCUGUUGCUGUUGUUAUUACGUUGAGUGUGGACCACACUGUGGCAGUUCUUACUUAUCCUCGUCACUUUGGGCCCCCGAGCAAGCAAGCUCUUCUCUCACUUCCACUCGAGGCGACUCUGGCCGCUAUGGCAUUGUUAUGAAAUGCGCAAACAAAUGUAUAUCGAUUUUGUAUCUUUUAUCUGUGCCCCACACUGUGUCUGUGUGCGUUCGAUUGCCAUUCCUUGUGCCAACUGAGCACUGCUGUUGCCGGGAGUAAGAACAGAGGGGACUAGAAAAACACCAAAGGAUAAGAAAGCACAACAAAACCCACAAAAAAAAAGGCACGAAAACAGGCAACCGCUCUUUGACCCCGGUAAUCCUUCAUCCGUUUAAAAACGUAAACAACCAUUUUGUACGCCUUGGGCAUCUAUCCGCUCGGAGAAACCACCAAAAUUGCUGAGUUCAUUCAAUUAAAUCAUAUCGACGGCGGUGGUACUCUCCCCAGUACCAUCAACAACAGCCUCAACAUUUCGGCCACCAACGUCAAAAUCAACAACAACAACUUGGUAUUUCUACGUCUUUAAAAUUUGGUGUAUGCCCUGUUAAAGUGCAAUGUGCUGCAAGUGCAGUUUUUUUGUUCUAAAGUUGUUUCCCCAUAUGUCAUUGGACAUAAAUUUGCUUCAUCCCGGUUACAUUUAAUCUUAUAAACUACAUUUGAUUUGUCCUCCUUUUUCAUCAUUGAUUUAGUCCUGCUGAAUGGACUAUUUAAUGUGUUGUGGCUCUUUAAGGCAAGCUGGUAUUUUCCCCUGAAGUACAUAUUUGA